UCUGCAUCUGCAGAGAGGCAUCACCGUAAAUACUGUACGGACAAUGCAGAAACCAGUUUGACUAUAAAUCAGCUUUGCUAAAACGCCCAAUCAGGAAAAAGCUAAACCCGGAAGUAAUUUAUCCAGCUGUUGGUGUGUGUGUGAGAGAGAAACAUAGAGAGAGAAACAGAGAGAGAGGAGAUGGUGGUUGUUUGUGGCUUUCUUUGGGAUGAAAAUAAUACACCGUAUGAAAAUGUAACCGACGACAUAAAUCCACGUCUGGUCUCGAACAAGGAACAUUGUGGGAAAUAUGCUCUUGUGGAAGGCAUAGACGCCAGUGUGCAGAUCUGGGUUGCAUCUGUGGUAUUUGGGCCUGGAUGAGGUCUUGUAGCCAACCAUGUUCCCCUGCUCCACCACAACACAGUAGACCAGAGGAGAGUAGACAGACAGUAGAAUUCAAUGUCAUUGUG